AACGAACGCUGGCGGCAUGCCUAACACAUGCAAGUCGAACGAGACCUUCGGGUCUAGUGGCGCACGGGUGCGUAACGCGUGGUAACCUGCCCUUAGGUUCGGAAUAACUCCCCGAAAGGGGUGCUAAUACCGGAUAAUCUCUUCGGACCAAAGAUUUAUCGCCUUUGGAUGGGCCCGCGUUGGAUUAGCUAGUUGGUAGGGUAAAAGCCUACCAAGGCGACGAUCCAUAGCUGGUCUGAGAGGAUGAUCAGCCACACUGGGACUGAGACACGGCCCAGACUGCUACGGGAGGCAGCAGUGGGGAAUAUUGGAAAAUGGGCGAAAGCCUGAUAAAGCAAUGCCGCGUGAGUGAUGAAGGCCUUAGGGUUGUAAAGCUCUUUUACCCGGGAUGAUAAUGACAGUACCGGGAGAAUAAGCACCGGCUAACUCCGUG
rnacentral:rRNA from 1 species